rnacentral:rRNA from 1 species
UACGGAGGGUGCAAGCGUUAUUCGGAAUUAUUGGGCGUAAAGGGCGCGUAGGCGGCCUGACAAGUGGAAGGUGAAAUCCCUCGGCUUAACCGAGGAACUGCCCUCCAAACUGUCUGGCUUGAGACCGGGAGAGGUGAGUGGAAUUCCCAGUGUAGCGGUGAAAUGCGUAGAUAUUGGGAGGAACACCAGUGGCGAAGGCGGCUCACUGGACCGGUACUGACGCUGAUGCGCGAAAGCGUGGGGAGCAAACGGG